UACGUAGGGGGCAAGCGUUGUUCGGAAUUACUGGGCGUAAAGGGCGCGUAGGCGGCACGGUAAGUCAGAAGUGAAAGGCCUGGGCUCAACCGAGGAACUGCUUUUGAGACUGCCGAGCUAGAGUGCGGAAGGGGCAACCGGAAUUCCCAGUGUAGCGGUGAAAUGCGUAGAUAUUGGGAAGAACACCUGAGGCGAAGGCGGGUUGCUGGGCCGACACUGACGCUGAGGCGCGAAAGCCAGGGGAGCAAACGGG
rnacentral:rRNA from 1 species